rnacentral:rRNA from 1 species
CAAUCAGAAAUGAUUGCUAAUACCGCAUAAGCGCACAGGACCGCAUGGUCCGGUGUGAAAAACUCCGGUGGUAUAAGAUGGACCCGCGUUGGAUUAGCUUGUUGGUGAGGUAACGGCCCACCAAGGCGACGAUCCAUAGCCGGCCUGAGAGGGUGAACGGCCACAUUGGGACUGAGACACGGCCCAGACUCCUACGGGAGGCAGCAGUGGGGAAUAUUGCACAAUGGGGGAAACCCUGAUGCAGCGACGCCGCGUGAAGGAAGAAGUAUCUCGGUAUGUAAACUUCUAUCAGCAGGGAAGAUAGUGACGGUACCUGACUAAGAAGCCCCGGCUAACUACGUGCCAGCAGCCGCGGUAAUACGUAGGGGGCAAGCGUUAUCCGGAUUUACUGGGUGUAAAGGGAGCGUAGACGGACUGGCAAGUCUGAUGUGAAAGGCGGGGGCUCAACCCCUGGACUGCAUUGGAAACUGUUAGUCUUGAGUGCCGGAGAGGUAAGCGGAAUUCCUAGUGUAGCGGUGAAAUGCGUAGAUAUUAGGAGGAA